rnacentral:rRNA from 1 species
UACGAAGGGGACAAGCGUUGUUCGGAAUUACUGGGCGUAAAGGGCGCGUAGGCGGCUUAUCAAGUCAGGCGUGAAAUUCCCGGGCUCAACCUGGGGGCUGCGCUUGAUACUGAUGAGCUUGAAUGCGGGAGAGGAUAGUGGAAUUCCCAGUGUAGAGGUGAAAUUCGUAGAUAUUGGGAAGAACACCGGUGGCGAAGGCGGCUAUCUGGCCCGUAAUUGACGCUGAGGCGCGAAAGCGUGGGGAGCAAACAGG